UGUCUAUGCCUCGUCCAAAGAAGAAAAGGAUUGGAAGAAGGAGAAAUCGCGGGAUCGAGACUAUGACCGCAAGAGGGACAGAGAUGAGCGGGAUAGAAGUAGGCACAGCAGCAGAUCGGAGCGAGAUGGAGGGUCAGAGCGUAGCAGCAGAAGAAAUGAACCCGAGAGCCCACGACAUCGACCUAAAGAUGCAGCCACCCCUUCAAGGUCUACCUGGGAGGAAGAGGACAGUUGCUCUGGCUCCUCAAGGCGCUCACAGUGGGAAUCGCCCUCCCCGACGCCUUCCUAUCGGGAUUCUGAGCGGAGCCAUCGGCUGUCCACUCGAGAUCGAGACAGGUCUGUGAGGAGCAAGUACUCGGAUGACACGCCUCUGCCAACUCCCUCCUACAAAUACAACGAGUGGGCCGAUGACAGAAGACACUUGGGGUCCACCCCGCGUCUGUCCAGGGGCCGAGGUGAGGCCUGUGGGGCAGGAGGCAGAAGAGCAGGCUUGCUUGCCCUAGCGAGGAUGAGCAGGGGCUGCCCUUCUGGAGCUGCGUGGCCCUGCAGAUCUGUCUGGGGCUGCUGGGGACAGGCCAGGGCAUGAACUGACCUGCUCCCUGUGCUCCUCCAGGAAGACGCGAGGAGGGCGAAGAAGGAAUUUCAUUUGACACGGAGGACGAGCGGCAGCAGUGGGAGGAUGACCAGAGGCAAGCCGAUCGGGAUUGGUACAUGAUGGACGAGGGCUAUGAUGAGUUCCACAACCCUCUGGCCUAUUCCUCCGAGGACUACGUGAGGAGGCGGGA
rnacentral:sRNA from 1 species